GGAGAUUCCUAUAAUUAUAAUAAACCAUAGGAAAGAUUUGUGUAAAAUACCCUUCUUUUUUAGUUUCCUGUAUCUUCUCAGCAACCAGAGGUGGCUGUACAGCAACCCAACCCAACCCAAUCCAAUCAAAAUUUGCCGACGUUGCUAUAUGAAGAUCUCCUCUUCUUCGUCUCCGACAUUCCAUUUUAUUCCUCCCCAUGUCAAGGAAUUCCCUGCCAGCCCAAUUCGCCCAAUGCAGGUCACAACAAACCCUACGAGAAGUUUUUCUGGUACGCCCCCACACAGUGAGUUCAGUUGUCCGAGUUCAAGAACGCUCUUUUGAUGGCUGCGAUACAAUCGAGCCCUAAUUGUCCCUCCCAUUCUGGAUCACUAAUCACCAUGGGGUUGCUGUCUCUGCAGUUGCCCAAAUUUAGGGUUUUGAGCCCCAAAGAGCUUCUAUUUUCAGUCUGGAAUCACAUCAUUGAGGUCGUUAAGAGUCGCAGGCAAGUAAAUUUCAGUUCUUUUACAUGUAUGUCCUUAUAUAUAUAUAUAUAUAUAUAUAUAUAUAUAUAUAUACACACAGACACACUCACACUCGGAUAGAACUUACAAAAUUUAAAAGAUUGGAUCUUUGAUGUGAUUAUAACCUCUAAUUUUCAUGCCAAAACAAGCACGCACUUAGAUAGAACUGUUAAUUCUGCAAUAAUUGGUUCAAAUUUCACCCCGAUGAACAACUUAAGAAGAAAAAGAAAAUAAUACUUUAGUAGACGUUGAGAUGUAAAUAUGACCCUUGAACCUCGUUCCAGAUCUGAAUUGGCCAGUGUCUUGGGAUUUGGAAGCAUUUUUAUUGCCCCAUAUAAGGGUUCUGACCUAUAUAUUGAUAUCUAUGAAGCUCCAACAGAUUAAAGAAUACAAUCUCUGAUUGAGAAAAUUGAAUUUCUUCCAUUUGCCCCCUGAAAUCAUAAGAGCAGGGAAGGAGUUCUCUUAGAGGAGGUCAAUCUAAUGAGGGCAAGGAAACAUAUUACCCCCCACCAUCCUUUUUUCUUUUGAGUAGCUUUAUGUGGUAAAUUUCGUGCUUUGUUAACUUGAAUUUUUUCCAAUGCCACCAUGAGUUCUCUUUUUGUGUAUAUAUUGGCUGCUUAGAACUGAAUUACAAUUUUGAUAAGCUUUCCUAGUUCUUCUCGCUGAUUUUUAUUUUUUUUAUUAUUAUUUUUUUUUGCGAUACAUCAAUUUCUGUGAAUGCCUGUUUGCUUUUUGAAACAUGUGUACUUCCAUGGACUUAAGAGGAAAUGAUGUUUCUAUGUUGCUGGCAAAUGUUCGGCAGAAGUGAUUGGAGAAGAAUAGAACACCAUUAUGUGAUAUCAAAAACGCCCACACGUUGCCUGCCAUGCCCAGAAAUAUUUCCUUAGGCAAAGCAAAGCAACAUGUCAAGGAGGAAAAGACGAUCUAUCGAAUUAGUUUAUUUCUCUCUAUACAGAGAUUCAUAAUUCAGACACCUAACCAUGCAUACAUAUGUAUUUUGUGUCAGUCGACUCACCAAUGGUGUCAGAGGAUUUCUUUGUUGUUGAUCCUCCACGAGCUGAGACACAUAGCAAUAUUUGUUGGCUGCUCCUACUGCUUUGGAUGAAGGAUUUAAAUCAAUGGAUUUUGUCAAGUCCAGUGAUGGGGAAUUUGUCCUUCCAAAGCCAGGUAGCUCAACAUGCCGGUACCCCGGUUGUAUUAAUUUCCUGUUUAUGUCUCUCCCAUCUUCUGGCUUUUCUUUUCCAUUUUGGUAAGUAUUCAAUAUGGAGCCAGCUAAAAAGGAAAACCCAUGAGGUGUUUAAACCAACCGCAAUGCAUUCAAAGAGCCCAAUCAAUGUAGAUGUGUUGGUUGGCUUGUCAAAGUUGAGCUUGUUAAUUUCGUGCGAAGGUAAGGUCCUCCUCUCUCCUCUCUCAUGAACUGCUCAAGGGCCCCAUUAGUUAGUCUGCUUUUCAAGCAACUGCAUCUAGCAGUCUGGCAUUGAAAUCGAGCACCAGCCCAUCUAUGCAGUCUAAAGGUUAAGUGCUGCCUUGAUGUUUAGGAUUAGCUCAGUGGUGAUGGGCUCUAGGGAUUUCCUGUUAAUACAUGACAAUAAUGUUCAGUAUUUGUUUCUGUAUGGAAUCUUCUUAAUAAGCUGGUUUUUUCAGGAAUCGUUAAGUUAAUGUCCUCCUGACCUACUUACUGAAAGAAAAUAUCAGUUCUUACCUCGUAGUUUGUGGCAAUUUCUGUCAGAAAUUAAUCAAAAUUUCAACAUUCUGUGUUUUGUUA